rnacentral:rRNA from 1 species
GAGUUUGAUCCUGGCUCAGAGUGAACGCUGGCGGCAGGCCUAACACAUGCAAGUCGAACGGCAGCACAAAGGAGCUUGCUCCUUGGGUGGCGAGUGGCGGACGGGUGAGGAAUACAUCGGAAUCUGCCUUAUCGUGGGGGAUAACGUAGGGAGACUUACGCUAAUACCGCAUACGACCUACGGGUGAAAGCGGAGGACCUUCGGGCUUCGCGCGAUAAGAUGAGCCGAUGUCGGAUUAGCUAGUUGGCGGGGUAAAGGCCCACCAAGGCUACGAUCCGUAGCUGGUCUGAGAGGGUGAUCAGUCACACUGGAACUGAGACACGGUCCAGACUCCUACGGGAGGCAGCAGUGGGGAAUAUUGGACAAUGGGCGCAAGCCUGAUCCAGCCAUGCCGCGUGUGUGAAGAAGGCCUUCGGGUUGUAAAGCACUUUUGUUGGGGAAGAAAAGCCUUGGAUUAAUACCCUGAGGUUCUGACGGUACCCAAAGAAUAAGCACCGGCUAACUUCGUGCCAGCAGCCGCGGUAAUACGAAGGGUGCAAGCGUUACUCGGAAUUACUGGGCGUAAAGCGUGCGUAGGUGGUGGUUUAAGUCAGAUGUGAAAGCCCUGGGCUCAACCUGGGAAUGGCAUUUGAUACUGGAUCACUAGAGUGCGGUAGAGGAUGGCGGAAUUCCCGGUGUAGCAGUGAAAUGCGUAGAGAUCGGGAGGAACAUCUGUGGCGAAGGCGGCCAUCUGGACCAGCACUGACACUGAAGGCACGAAAGCGUGGGGAGCAAACAGGAUUAGAUACCCUGGUAGUCCACCCCCUUAAACGAUGC